rnacentral:lncRNA from 1 species
AAACUAUCAAUCAAUCGUAAGUCACCCUUCUUCUAAACCUACUCUUUAUUUUUCCCUAAUUUUAACCCUUCUAUCUUCUUCUUCCCAAUUAACUUCAACUUUCAAAUCCUUCCCCUCUCUCUCUGAUUUCCAUUUCAUCCUUUAGUCGCACCCUUUUGUACUUUGAAUAUUUAUUUCAAAUUCAGAUACUAUCUUCAACUCGGUUUUCGCAUUAUCAUCGACACAACACUCUUGUCAUCCACGUUUUCAGAUAUUCAUUCUUAUUUCUUGCUCUCUCUCUCUCUCUCUCUCUCUCUCUCUCUCUCUCUCUACUCUAGGUGGUAGCGGUGCCAUGGACUGUGCACUCAUUUUCCGGUGCUGUAAAUGUAACGCAUAUUGUUGCAGAUAUUUCAAUAUUAUGAAUGGAUCAAUAUUACGCUUCAGUGAAACCAUGUGUAGUUCAUCUGUCUCGGUAACACCGAUGAAUCCUUAUUUGUUGUUUGAUAUUCUUCUAUUAUUAUCAACCAGGGUCUAAUAUUAAAACAUAGUUUUUACUUGAAGGACAAAGGAAAAAGAAAAUAGGAACAAACAACAUAUACAGCCCAGAUUUAGAAAAUUGUUGCCGCAUACAGUUCAGGCAAAAUUAAAUUAUGUUACAAGUUCAUUUUUGGUUUCUAGAAUCACAGGCAAACUUGCUAAUUAGGGAUAGUAGUGUGUGUAGAGUUUGUGAAUUUUGAUAUGGU